GAUGAAUAAGUCCACAACUAAAACCAUACACGCUACUUUAUAGGCAUAUAUGGUAUUCAAUUGGACAAUAUAAAUACAUAUUGGUUAACUAUUCCUCUUAAGGAUAUCGGCUAAAAGAUAAAAUCCUUAAUAAAGUAAUACCAACAAAGAUAUAAU